AUUGAACGCUGGCGGCAGGCCUAACACAUGCAAGUCGAACGAGUGGCGGACGGGUGAGUAAUGACUGGGAAUCUGGCUUAUGGAGGGGGAUAACGACUGGAAACGGUCGCUAAUACCGAGUACCAUAGGAUGAGCCCAAGUGGGAUUAGGUAGUCGGUGGGGUAAAGGCUUACCUAGGCGACGCUCACUAGCUGGUCUGAGCGGAUGACCAGCCACACCGGCACUGAGACACGGCCCGGACUCCUACGGGAGACAGCAGUGGGGAAUAUUGCACAAUGGGGGCAACCCUGAUGCAGCCAUGCCGCGUGAAUGAAGAAGGCCUUCGGGUUGUAAAGUUCUUUCAGUGACGAGGCGUUAAUCGCAGAAGAAGCACCGGCUAACUCCGUGCCAGCAGCCGCGGUAAUUC
rnacentral:rRNA from 1 species